UGGUGUAGCCCCACGCGGGGCCGUCCCAUCUUCGAAGUUUUCUGGUGACUGGGUCGGUCCCGCAAUUAUCCCAGAUAGGGUAGCGGGGGAAAGCCAAAGGCAACGGGACACCCAGAUGUAUCAAGCACCGCCCCCUGGAGCCCCAUUGCGCAUGCGCGGCCUGGAGGCAAGGGCGCGAGGUACAGGGCGAGGCUUGGGGAGGGAGGAGGCAGGGCGGUGAUUGGGCGAGAGGAGAGCCACGCCCACCACGGAACGUCUCUGCGCAUGCGCCGGGGGCCAGCUUCUAGUAUUUUCGACGCGUCUGCUGAUGCAGUCCCUCAGUGCGCGUCCAGACGUCGGAGGUGGAGGUUGUGGAAUUCGCUGUUCGAGAGCAGGGACAAAAAGCCCUUCUUGGUCUUACGUUCCGAAAGGAAGGCGUCCGUUGGGCCUUUCUCUCAGUCGUGAGGGAGGUGUCGACGGCCUGCGGAAGUCCGGAGUUGAGGCUUGCGGGAUCUUUUCCGGAGAAAGCGCAGGCUAAAGCCGCGGGGGAAGAUGUCCAACUACGUGAACGACAUGUGGCCGGGCUCGCCGCAGGAGAAGGAUUCGCCCUCGACCUCGCGGUCGGGCGGGUCCAGCCGGCUCUCGUCGCGGUCUAGGAGCCGCUCUUUUUCCAGAAGCUCUCGGUCCCAUUCCCGCGUCUCUAGUCGGUUUUCGUCCAAGAGUCGGAGCCGGAGGAGCAGGUCAAGGUCCCGUUCCCGAAGGCGCCACCAGCGGAAGUACAGGCGCUACUCGCGGUCAUACUCGCGGAGCCGGUCGCGAUCCCGCAGCCGCCGUUACCGAGAGAGGCGCCACGGAUUCUCCAGGAGAUACUACCGGUCUCCUUCGCGGUCCCGGUCCCGGUCCCGGUCCCGUAGCAGGUCGCACUCUCGGGGAAGGUCAUACUGCGGAAGGGCGUACGCGAUCGCGCGCGGGCAGCGCUACUACGGCUUUGGUCGCACAGUGUACCCGGAGGAGCACAGCAGAUGGAGGGACAGAUCCAGGACGAGGUCGCGGAGCAGAACCCCCUUUCGCUUAAGUGAAAAAGAUCGAAUGGAGCUGUUAGAAAUAGCAAAAGCCAAUGCAGCGAAAGCUUUAGGAACAACCAACAUUGACUUGCCACCUAGUCUCAGAACUGUACCUGUAGCCAAAGAAACAAGCCGUGGAAUAGGUGUGUCAAGUAAUGGUGCAAAGCAUGAAGUAAGUAUUCUAGGUUUGUCCGAACAAAGCUUUCAGAAAGCCAACUGUCAAAUCUGAUUAGCCACUUAUAUCUUACCUUAAGACUAUACUUUUUGGGAAGUCUAGAGAUAUAUAUAAUGUGCUAAAUUCAAAGUAGCAAAUCUGAAGAUAGGCAAGGUCAUACCCAUGAAAAUGGGAGAUUAAUGAGCUUUAUCUGGCCGUGCAUGGUGCCUCAUGCCUGUAAUGAGGCAGAUGGCUUGAGUCCAGGAGUUCCAGACUAGCCUGGGCAAUGUGGCAAAACCACGUGUUUACAAAAAAUACAAAAAUUAGCCAGGCAUGGUGAUGCAUGCCUGUAGUCCCAGCUGUUUGGGAGGCUGAGGCAGGAGGAUCUUUGAGCCCAGGAUGCUAAGGUUGUAGUGAGCCAAGAUUGCACCAUUGCACUCUAGCCUGGGCAGCAGAGUGAGACCCUGUCUCAAAAAAUACAUUUAUUUUUUUCAUUUUCAGUUAACACUGUACUCUUAUAACACCGUUAUUAGCUGGUACUUUGGUGAUUUCUAUUACUAGUUUUUCUAAGCUAUUUACAGAGUGUUUGUAGCAUUCAUUUGCAGCAUUAUGUUCCCACAAAUUCUGUACUCAGCAUAUACAGUAUAGUUUAUCUGCUUUAUUUCUGUCUUAUAGAAAUCAUGAAUGUGGUCUGCAGACAUUGAUGAAGAAAAUCUGUUGAUGUUUUGAGAGAUUACAGAAGAGGAGGCCUGCUUCACUUGCAGAUAAGUUUAUUAUAAUUCUCCAGAAAUGUGCAGGAUGUGCAUUAGCAAAUUGCACUGUACUUUUCACUCCAGCCUGGGUGACAGAGCAAGACUCCCGUUUCGGGGGAAAGAGAAAAAAAAAGAUGCUGUAUCUAAAUGAAUCUGUGCAAUUGGGCCCAGACGUGGGUUUGCUCAGUGUUAGUAGACAAGGUCUUUGUUCAGACGAUUAGGUGCCUAAUUGGCAAAUGCCUUAGUUUCUUAAAACGAGGUAUUUUCUGAUGUGGCUUUACUUUUCAAAAGUUAACUUGAUUCAACCUGAGAAAACUGAUUAAAAAAUUGGUUUAAAUUUGCCAUCAGGGAAGUAAAAUAAUUAUGGGAAGAGUGUCUUGAGCCUAAUAUUAAAUCAGUUUUGUUAAGGGGAAAACUCAAUAGUUCUGUUACUUAGGCUGUUAGAUCCAAGUUGAUUUUUGUGUCUACAACUAAAUUUUGUAUACAAUUAGGUUAUUUUUUAAUAUAGGAUUUAGAAACCAAGGGUAUGUGUUUUAAAAUUACACUUUUUCUUAACCUGUCUAGCUGUUGGAAAAGGUAACAGAAGAUGGAACUCGAAAUCCCAAUGAAAAACCUACCCAGCAAAGAAGCAUAGCUUUUAGCUCUAAUAAUUCUGUAGCAAAGCCAAUACAAAAAUCAGCUAAAGCUGCCACAGAAGAGACAUCUUCAAGAUCACCAAAAAUAGAUCAGAAAAAAAGUCCAUAUGGACUGUGGAUACCUAUCUAAAAGAAGAAAACUAAUGGCGAAGUUUGCAUGAAAACUGCACUUUAUUGCAAGUUAGUGUUUCUAGCAUUAUCCCAUCCCUUUGAGCCAUUCAGGGGUACUUGUGCAUUUAAAAACCAACACAAAAAGAUGUAAAUACUUAAUACUCAAAUAUUAACAUUUUAGGUUUCUCUUGCAGAUAUGAGAGAUAGCACAGAUGGACCAAAGGUUAUGCACAGGUGGGAGUCUUUUGUAUAAAGUUGUAAAUAUUGUCUUGGUUAUGUAAAAAUGAGAUUUUUUAGACACAGUAAUUGAACUGUGUUCCUGUUUUGUAUAUUUAAUAAAUUUCUUGUUUUCAUUCUUA